rnacentral:rRNA from 1 species
UGGUGGGUAGUUUGACUGGGGCGGUCUCCUCCUAAAGAGUAACGGAGGAGCACGAAGGUUGGCUAAUCCUGGUCGGACAUCAGGAGGUUAGUGCAAUGGCAUAAGCCAGCUUGACUGCGAGCGUGACGGCGCGAGCAGGUGCGAAAGCAGGUCAUAGUGAUCCGGUGGUUCUGAAUGGAAGGGCCAUCGCUCAACGGAUAAAAGGUACUCCGGGGAUAACAGGCUGAUACCGCCCAAGAGUUCAUAUCGACGGCGGUGUUUGGCACCUCGAUGUCGGCUCAUCACAUCCUGGGGCUGAAGUAGGUCCCAAGGGUAUGGCUGUUCGCCAUUUAAAGUGGUACGCGAGCUGGGUUUAGAACGUCGUGAGACAGUUCGGUCCCUAUCUGCCGUGGGCGCUGGAGAA